GCCCCAGUAGCUUAGUGGCUAGAGCAGCCGCCUCGUAAGCGGCAGGUCGGGGGUUCAACUCCCCCCUGGGGCU
rnacentral:tRNA from 1 species